rnacentral:rRNA from 1 species
AACGAACGAGGGAGGAAGGAGGAACACAUGCAAGUCGAACGAGACCUUCGGGUCUAGUGGCGCACGGGUGCGUAACGCGUGGGAACCUGCCCUUAGGUUCGGAAUAACUCCCCGAAAGGGGUGCUAAUACCGGAUAAUGUCUUCGGACCAAAGAUUUAUCGCCUUUGGAUGGGCCCGCGUUGGCUUAGCUAGUUGGUAGGGUAAAAGCCUACCAAGGCGACGAUCCAUAGCUGGUCUGAGAGGAUGAUCAGCCACACUGGGACUGAGACACGGCCCAGACUCCUACGGGAGGCAGCAGUGGGGAAUAUUGGACAAUGGGCGAAAGCCUGAUCCAGCAAUGCCGCGUGAGUGAUGAAGGCCUUAGGGUUGUAAAGCUCUUUUACCCGGGAUGAUACUGACAGUACCGGGAGAAUAAGCUCCGGCUAACUCCGUG